AUUGAACGCUGGCGGCAGGCCUAACACAUGCAAGUCGAGCGGAUGAAGGGAGCUUGCUCCUGGAUUCCGCGGCGGACGGGUGAGUAAUGCCUAGGAAUCUGCCUGGUAUUUGGGGAUAACGUCCGUAAACGGGCGCUAAUACCGCAUACGUCCUUAUGGUGAAAGUGGGGGAUCUUCGGACCUCACGCUAUCAGCUGAGCCUAGGUCGGAUUAGCUAGUUGGUGGGGUAAAGGCCUACCAAGGCGACGAUCCGUAACUGGUCUGAGAGGAUGAUCAGUCACACUGGAACUGAGACACGGUCCAGACUCCUACGGGAGGCAGCAGUAGGGAAUAUUGGACAAUGGGCGAAAGCCUGAUCGAGCAAUGCCGCGUGUGUGAAGAAGGUCUUCGGAUUGUAAAGCACUUUAAGUUGGGAGGAAGGGAAGUAAGUGAAUACAUGGAUGUUUUGACGGUACCAACAGAAUAAGCAACGGCUAACUUCGUG
rnacentral:rRNA from 1 species